GGAGAGGUGUCAGAGUGGCCGAAUGAGCACGCUUGGAAAGCGUGUGUGUCGAAAGGCACCGGGGGUUCGAAUCCCCCUCUCUCCGCCA
rnacentral:tRNA from 1 species